rnacentral:lncRNA from 1 species
AUGCCGAAAGUGAAGAAGUCCAGCUCUGUUCAGACCUCCAUUAGCAGAUACUUUGGAGGGGAAACCAACAGCCUUCAAUUUUCUGGAGGAAAGGUGAAACUUUCCUCUGCUGAUGAACUGCCGGCAAAACGAGCAAAGCUUUCUGAGCAGGAACUGGACAGUGAACCUCCUUCAUCUUCUCAGAAAGAACCAAAUGUCACUCCAAAUAGACGUGGAGGCAGCUUGUGUUCAUCCACUUUAGAAAAGCUAAAGGGUUUCACCUCUGCGGCCAAACCCAGCGACAACACUGACACACAAGAAGACAUAGGGGUAAAUACUCCCGGCAGCAGCAAGGACAUCUGUCAAAGACGAGGAGGUUUACCUCCACCAGAAGCCCCUGAUCAACACAAGUUCAUAGGACUGCAAAAGCUAGAGGGGUGUGAGGAUGAAGAAAGAAAGGAAGCUGCAGCUAAACAGGUACCAUGUAAACACACCCUCUCAAAGUCAAAGUCGGCUUUAUUGUCAAAUGUACUGCAUCCAUAAAGACAUACAGCACAGAUGAAAUUGCUUUCCUCUCACCCCACAGUGCAAGCAGCAUAUAAAAAAUAAAUAAAUAAACGACUUAAAAAUAGAUAAAAAGACAGCAAUAAUAAGAAGAAUAACAGUUGUCUAAACAGUGCAGAGAGCAAUGAGGUGGUUAAAGUGGCAGUUUAA